GCCGGGGCGCGGCACCGGUUUUGAAAGCGAGGCUGCUGGGACUACUGGUGUAGCAAAGGUCCCCCGGUUCCGAACCCUACGGCUCAGUCGACGCGGCCGGAGACCGGCGAAUUGCCAUGCAAUCUCCCGGCGGCGGCGGCGGCGGCGGCCGGGCCCUGAGUCCCACCACCCCGGGCUACAGAGACAGCUUUGCCCAAGAGGCCGAGGUCAUUGCCGAGCAGCUGCAAGGUCACGGGGGAGCAGAUGUAUCCACCAUCGAGGCUGAGCUCCUACCUCCAGACUUGACAUCCUCUGCUUCUUUUCUGGACCCAAUGCCCAGUGGCCAGGGCCAGGGCCAGGAGAGUGCUAGCCCACUUGCUCCCCCUCCAGACCCCGGGCAGGAACCUUCCCUGCUCUCCCCCAGUGCCCUGGACCUUCCCUUUCUCAAAGGGUCACCAGCCCUGGAGGAGGCUGCCAGUCCUGCUGAGCUGGGCAGAUGGCAGCUUAAUGUGACCAUGGAGCUCCCUAGCCCAGCUCCUGAUGCCUCACAGGCUGGUGAGCCUUUGGCCUUGGCCCCCCAAAGUCCACCAGGCCCCCAGGUAAGCACUGAGCUCAACCAGACCUGUCUGCUUAGCUCAGGUGCUCCUGCCCAAGAAGUGGCCCAGCCAGAGAGUGGCCCUGCCCUAGAAGAAAGAGCCCGCAGGGAUCUCCCUGAUGUGGAUGUGCCCGGCAAUAAGACUUUUUCAUUUAGCCCGGCCACUGCCUUUGUGACCUCCACACCACGGGGUGCCACCGCCGCAGCUUCAGGGGAGCUGAAACUGCUCCAGGGGGUUUCUGGCUUCUCUUUCCCAGAGAGCCCCCCAGCUCAAGAAGCACCCAGGAUGGCCCAGGCAGAGCAGCCCAGUGCCAGACGCCCCCAGGGGCCUCUGGCCUCUGCUGGCAACCUCCCCAAGGCCACCCCAAAAAGUGGCCCUUUGGGGAAGGUGGGCCAGGAAAAACGGUCCCUGGGUGGGGCCAUUCUAGCUGUGUCCAGGAGGGGGUAUCAGGGCCAUCCUUUGCCAGGGCAGAAGAGAUGGUCAGCCAUCCCCUACAAAGGCUCCCGCUUGCCUGUCCCGCUGAAGGGCAGGAACAGUGAGGCGGGCAGGAUGAAGGAAGCAGAGCCGACAGCCAAAGCAGGGAAUAGCCCCCCCCCAGCAGCCAAGGUAGCUCAAGUGAGUAAGCUUCCCCCACCCCCCACGUGUCCUUGGGGGCAUUACACCAGCCUGUGUUGGGAGGCAGUGCCCAGUGGGAGGCUGCUGGGAGGUGGCCCUUCCCCAAGCCAGUUCCCUAGUGGAGAGGCCUGGAAGUUUGGACUCAGCUGGUUCCCGGCCCCCACCAGGUACAUCCAUCCAGCCUUGGCUUUUGCCCAACAGAGAGAGAGAGUGAGUGUGUGUGUUUGUUUUGUGCGCACGUGUGCGUGCCUUAGCUCCUCCACAGCCAAUCAGUGCCACCUCCAUUCUCCUUGCAUCAGAGAGGUUCCAGUGCUCGAGACCCCAAGUCCAGGGAUCCCCAGGCAGCUCGAAUUUCAAGGACUUUGGUCCCUACCCAGGGUGCCCAUUCCAGAGCCCCCUCUAAGACAGGUGAGUCUUGGGAGUUUGGGACACAGUCGCUCCUCAGGCUCUAGGUUCCUACCCAGCUGA
rnacentral:lncRNA from 1 species